rnacentral:rRNA from 1 species
UCGAACGAUGAAACCCUUCGGGGUGGAUUAGUGGCGAACGGGUGAGUAACACGUGGGCAAUCUGCCCUUCACUCUGGGACAAGCCCUGGAAACGGGGUCUAAUACCGGAUACCACUCCUGCCUGCAUGGGCGGGGGUUGAAAGCUCCGGCGGUGAAGGAUGAGCCCGCGGCCUAUCAGCUUGUUGGUGGGGUAAUGGCCUACCAAGGCGACGACGGGUAGCCGGCCUGAGAGGGCGACCGGCCACACUGGGACUGAGACACGGCCCAGACUCCUACGGGAGGCAGCAGUGGGGAAUAUUGCACAAUGGGCGAAAGCCUGAUGCAGCGACGCCGCGUGAGGGAUGACGGCCUUCGGGUUGUAAACCUCUUUCAGCAGGGAAGAAGCGAAAGUGACGGUACCUGCAGAAGAAGCGCCGGCUAACUACGUGCCAGCAGCCGCGGUAAUACGUAGGGCGCAAGCGUUGUCCGGAAUUAUUGGGCGUAAAGAGCUCGUAGGCGGCUUGUCACGUCGGAUGUGAAAGCCCGAGGCUUAACCUCGGGUCUGCAUUCGAUACGGGCUAGCUAGAGUGUGGUAGGGGAGAUCGGAAUUCCUGGUGUAGCGGUGAAAUGCGCAGAUAUCAGGAGGAACACCGGUGGCGAAGGCGGAUCUCUGGGCCAUUACUGACGCUGAGGAGCGAAAGCGUGGGGAGCGAACAGGAUUAGAUACCCUGGUAGUCCACGCCGUAAACGUUGGGAACUAGGUGUUGGCGACAUUCCACGUCGUCGGUGCCGCAGCUAACGCAUUAAGUUCCCCGCCUGGGGAGUACGGCCGCAAGGCUAAAACUCAAAGGAAUUGACGGGGGGCCCGCACAAGCAGCGGGAGCAUGUGGCUUAAUUCGACGCAACGCGAAAGAACCUUACCAAGGCUUGACAUAUACCCGGAAAGCAUUAAGAAGAUAGUGCCCCCCCUUGUGGGUCGG